ACACAUGCAAGUCGAACGAGCGAGAGAGAGCUUGCUUCCUCGAGCGAGUGGCGAACGGGUGAGUAACGCGUGAGGAACCUGCCUCAAAGAGGGGGACAACAGUUGGAAACGACUGCUAAUACCGCAUAAGCCCACGACCCGGCAUCGGGAAGAGGGAAAAGGAGCAAUCCGCUUUGAGAUGGCCUCGCGUCCGAUUAGCUAGUUGGUGAGGUAACGGCCCACCAAGGCGACGAUCGGUAGCCGGACUGAGAGGUUGAACGGCCACAUUGGGACUGAGACACGGCCCAGACUCCUACGGGAGGCAGCAGUGGGGAAUAUUGCACAAUGGGGGAAACCCUGAUGCAGCGACGCCGCGUGGAGGAAGAAGGUCUUCGGAUUGUAAACUCCUGUUGUUGAGGAAGAUAAUGACGGUACUCAACAAGGAAGUGACGGCUAACCACGUGCCAGCAGCCGCGGUAAAACG
rnacentral:rRNA from 1 species